UAUAUAAUUUAACAAAACUACUCGAUUACUUUUCUUUUCUAGCGCUUUACUUUUUAUGAGCCGUAGCAGAAAUGUUAUAACCACACAAAGUUUGACAUCUUGAAAAAUGAGAAGCAUAGAAAGGAGUUUUCUGUUAUCCUAAUAUCCAUAAAAUUAUAGAGUUUUGAAAUGUGGAGGGGUAAAAAACAUUGUGCAGUGGCGGUCCAACUAAUUAACCUCUGCAUAAGAAAUUAAGGACAAAGGGAACAUGGCACACUGCGCACUUUAUAUCUUGGGGCUUAG
rnacentral:lncRNA from 1 species